GACGAACGCUGGCGGCGUGCUUAACACAUGCAAGUCGAACGGUAAGGCCCUUCGGGGUACACGAGUGGCGAACGGGUGAGUAACACGUGGGUGAUCUGCCCUGCACUUCGGGAUAAGCCUGGGAAACUGGGUCUAAUACCGGAUAGGACUCCUGGCUUCAUGGUUGGGGGUGGAAAGCUUUUGCGGUGUGGGAUGGGCCCGCGGCCUAUCAGGUUGUUGGUGGAGUAAUGGCCGACCAAGGCGACGACGGGUAGCCGGCCUGAGAGGGUGACCGGUCACACUGGGACUGAGAUACGGCCCGGACUCCUACGGGAGGCAGCAGUGGGGAAUAUUGCACAAUGGGCGCAAGCCUGAUGCAGCGACGCCGCGUGAGGGAUGACGGCCUUCGGGUUGUAAACCUCUUUCAGCUAUGACGAAGCGCAAGUGACGGUAGUAGCAGAAGAAGGACCGGCCAACUACGUGCCAGCCGCCGCGGUAA
rnacentral:rRNA from 1 species